UAUAGAUGAUAAAUAUAUGCAAGUAUUAAGUGAAUAAGCGUUUACAAAACUCAUAGUAAUCCUAAAACGCUUAGACGCUUUAUGAUAGUGAAAUUAAAACCACGUUUCAAGUGUAUUUCGUUUGUGACGUUUGCAAUAUUUUAAUGUCGGCUUUCUACUGUCAAGUGAGACGAAAUAAAGUUUAAGUUAUGAUAUGCGAUUUAUAAAAAGUAUUUAACAAAUAUUGUGUAAAUGUGUUAAAUUUGACGUCACAAACACAUUUCAUGGAUAGUUAAGAUUUUAGUGUCAUGGAAAAUCUAUGCAUAUUUAAUUAGAUUCAGAAUUUGAGAGCAUUUUGUUUGUUUAUAGAUGUAUUGUAUUAUGUUUAAGGUUAAUUGGUUCAAGUGAACUCUUGUGAAGAACUAGAGAUAAAAUUUUAAAAAAAAAUGUAUUUUAGAAACAAUUGUUGUUUAUAAAAUACAUUUUUUAAAACUGCUAUUCUAUAAUACAUAAUCAUGACUGAAUAACGUCAACUCAACACAUUUCGUUCAAACAAAAACUUAGGCUUAAAAAGUGUAGCCUUAUUCUUUGUCAUUGAAAUACUUAACUGAAAAUUGCGCUGCAAAAUUUAAACAUGACAGUGCUUAUACGAGGAGAUGAAUGAAAUUGAACGUCUCGUGGUUGGUUACGCUUUCCUUGAAGAAAAUCCGAGCCUGAUAUUGGCUGCUACGACUGCCAUAGUAUAUUAGUCCUACAGUUAGGAAACUUAGUCAUGACAUUAAAUCAUUUCCAAGACACAACUGUAUGAUUUCUAAACUGUGAUUAUGCUAUUAGGUUGUUCUAUGGUCGAUUUGGGGAAAAAUGUAAUACUGGCAGGGUUAAAUUUUUUUUUUUUUUAAAUUACCAAUUACGGAAAUAAUGUUUAUUUGUAAUGUUUUACUGUUUUUGUGUGUUCUUUUUUAAUUCACACGUAGAAACCUUCUGUUUUUCCGGCCCACAAAUAUCAGGAUGCCUAGUUAUUAAAAAUAAAAAAAAACUUUGUCUCGUCUCGCCCUCACUUUAGUUAUAAUAAAUAAAUAUUGUUUUCUUAUUAUUGAUUUCUAACACAAAAUGAUUAAAUCCGAAAAAUAUAUAGUUUUUUGACCCAUGUUGAUAUAAUUGUAUGAAUCUACAGAUAAAAUCGUAUGCAUUCUUAAAUCAUGCCUGUAACAUACUCACGGAUGCAUUUCGACUAAUUGUAUUGUAACAGAUGAAUGUAUUGAGAUAUUGUUUUGUAUUUUAUAUUUAUACAUAUACUGUAAGGACCUCUCAAGGUAUACCUAAGUUUCGGAGCAACGUCCGGCAGGAUACGUAAUCACCCUGCGUGAUGUUUAUUCAUAAAUACUCAAGUUUCCUGUUUAUUCGGAUUAUCUUUUAUUAUUCAGGUGUAUUUAAAAUAGCUAAGAAUAUCGCGCGAGUUAUAUUACAAAAGUUUUCAGGGAAAAAAACCAUUCUCUUAUUUCUUGACCUUUCAACUAACUCUUUGCCAAAAUACUAGCGUGAAGAGACAACCAAACAAACACAUUUUUUUGUAUGUACCGUAACGUCAAAAUUCUAUGAAUAAACAUCAACGUGUCAGGUGGUAGGUUAAUGUUUUAGUGGUACGUAAUUUAGCUUUCUUGGUACUUUUAGUCGUUAUUGCAGUAUUUUGAUGCAAAUAUUAUUAUUUAAUAAGCGUAUUAAUAAAUAAAUUGACUCCGAUAUAG